CCUUAGAGUUUGAUCUGGCUCAGGGACGAACGCUGGCGGCACGCUUAACACAUGCAAGUCGAACGGGAGAAGAGGAGCUUGCUCCUCGGAUCAGUGGCGGACGGGUGAGUAACACGUGAGCAACCUGCCUUUAAGAGGGGGAUAACGUUUGGAAACGAACGCUAAUACCGCAUAAUAUAACGGUAUCGCAUGAUAUUGUUAUCAAAGAUUUAUCGCUUAAAGAUGGGCUCGCGUCUGAUUAGCUGGUUGGUGAGGUAACGGCUCACCAAGGCGACGAUCAGUAGCCGUACUGAGAGGUAGAACGGCCACAUUGGGACUGAGACACGGCCCAGACUCCUACGGGAGGCAGCAGUGGGGAAUAUUGCACAAUGGAGGGAACUCUGAUGCAGCGAUGCCGCGUGAGGGAAGAAGGUUUUCGGAUUGUAAACCUCUGUCAACAGGGACGAUAAUGACGGUACCUGAGAAGGAAGCUCCGGCUAACUACGUGCCAGCGGCCGCGGUAAUACGUAGGGAGCGAGCGUUGUCCGGAAUUACUGGGUGUAAAGGGAGCGUAGGCGGGACUUUAAGUCAGGUGUGAAAACUAUGGGCUCAACCCAAAGACUGCACUUGAAACUGAGGUUCUUGAGUGAAGUAGAGGCAGGCGGAAUUCCUAGUGUAGCGGUGAAAUGCGUAGAUAUUAGGAGGAACAUCAGUGGCGAAGGCGACUAUCUGGACGAUAACUGACACUGAGGCACGAAAGCGUGGGGAGCAAACAGGAUAGAUACCCUGGUAGUCCACGCAGUAAACGAUGGAUAAUAGAUGCAGGGGGUAUUCACUCCUUCUGUGUCGCAGCUAACGCAAUAAGUAUCCCGCCAGGGGAGUACGGCCGCAAGGUUAAAACUCAAAGGAAUGUACGGGGGGCCCGCACAAGCAGCGGAGCAUGUGGUUAAAUUCGACGCAACGCGAAAAACCUUACCAAGACUUGACAUCGCGCGCUAUCCCAGGAAACAGGGAGUUCCUUCGGGAUGCGCAGACAGGUGGUGCAUGGUUGUGGUCAGCUCGUGUCGUGAGAUGUUCGGUUAAGUCCGAUAACGAGC
rnacentral:rRNA from 1 species